AUACAAACAUAUGUUGGGGGGGUAUUUUUAUAAAUAUUAUUUUGUUUUACUUCUUUUUAACAUGCUAAUUUGUGAUUUGGUAGGAGAACAUUUAAAUACAAAGAUCCAAAAUUUGUUUAAGAGCUUUAUUACACUUUCUUUUCAGGUCUUAAACAGAACUAAAGUUACAUGGAAUAACCAAGCAAGUUAGGUUAUGCAUGGAUGUACAUGGAUGGCUACAUUUCAUUCAACAUGAUGCUUUAGAUUAGCAGAACUAGUGCUUGGAAUACUUCCAACAGGACAUUAUCUACAGAGAAAAAAAAUAUUGUUGCAGAUUAACUACAUGGAAAGUAGUACGAGUUGAACUUAGAGGCUUGCAAUUGCCAGGAAGGUGCUCUGCUACUCCAGCCACGCCUGUAGCCCUUCCAUUCUCUCUUAAUAAGAUCGAAGGGCACCAAGCACACCUUCGGACAUGGCAGCAUGUGGCGCAGCCUGGAGAGGGGAUACUUCCAUCACAGGGAGGGGAACAGUUUCAGCAACUUUUUGGCAUAUGGAGUCUGGCAUGGUUUAAUAGGAUCCAGGUACUAGAGACAUGCCUGUGCUAUUUCUGAUGCAGCAAUCCGGUCCCAUCACCUUUAAUGAGUGUGAAGCAAAGUUUUUGUACAAUGUCAGGC